rnacentral:rRNA from 1 species
UACGGAGGGUGCGAGCGUUUGUCCGGAAUCACUGGGCGUAAAGGGCGCGUAGGCGGCCUGAUAAGUAGGGGGUGAAAUCCUGCGGCUUAACCGCAGGGCUGCCUUCUAAACUGUCAGGCUGGAGCACAGUAGAGGCAGGUGGAAUUCCCGGUGUAGCGGUGGAAUGCGUAGAGAUCCGGAGGAAGACCGGUGGCGAAGGCGGUCUGCUGGGCAGUUUCUGACACUGAUGCGCGACAGCGUGGGGAGCAAACAGG